rnacentral:rRNA from 1 species
ACUUAAUGUAAAUAAUUUGUGUAGGUAGUAAUUGAUAUAACAUGAAACUUAAAGGAUUUGGCGGUAAAUUAUUUAAUUAGAGGAAUUUGUGCUGUAAAUGAUAAUCCGCGUAAAUUUUUUCCUUAAUUUAGUUUACAUAUCGCUGUUUAUGAAAAUUUUAGAAAGAAUUUUAAUUUUCUUUAUUAAUUAUAUUAAUAAAAUCAAGUCUAGAUGUAGCGUAUAUUAAGGUAUGACAUGAGUUACAAUUAAUUUUUUAUUAAAACGGAUUUAAGAAACGAAAGUUUGUAAUGAAGGUGGAUUUAAUAGUAAAUUUUUAAUAAAAUGGAUUAUUGAAUUAAAUACUAAUUUA